rnacentral:rRNA from 1 species
UACGUAGGGUGCAAGCGUUGUCCGGAAUUAUUGGGCGUAAAGAGCUCGUAGGCGGUUCGUCGCGUCGGCUGUGAAAUCCCGAGGCUCAACCUCGGGUCUGCAGUCGAUACGGGCGGACUGGAGUUCGGCAGGGGAGACUGGAAUUCCUGGUGUAGCGGUGAAAUGCGCAGAUAUCAGGAGGAACACCGGUGGCGAAGGCGCUGCUCUGGGCCGAAACUGACGCUGAGGAGCGAAAGCGUGGGUAGCAAACAGG